GAGAGUGAUCUGGUUUUAUCGCUGAGAGGCGUGUGACCGGUUACCCGACCUGAUGUCAUGUGUUUUUUGUGUGCUGAGAUGCUGGAAUGCGCUGGAGACGGCGCAGGACGGUGUUUUUUUGGCGACAGCAAAACCUUCGGCGGAAGCGGCGAUCUGUUGGUUUUUCGACGGGUUGCCCGCCGCCGGCCGUAUCUUUCAAAAGUCUUGUGAGAACGAUGAAGUCUUAUUAUUUUACAUGAUAAAUGAAAAAAAGCA
rnacentral:misc_RNA from 1 species